CCAGAAUGAAAUAUCUGAAAAACAGGUACCGGUUUUUUGUCCUAUAUGACGUUUCGUAGACAUUUUUUUACAUAUGUAGACCAGUAAAUUGAAUAUUGUCAGAUAUAUCAUACUCUGUUUUAAUGUGUAAUCUGUAAAUUUUUACAUAAAUCAUAAAACAUUAUUAAGUUUACUUGGACUUACUGGCGGCCGUUAUUAAAGUAAAAAGUCUGUAGUGCGGCCGUUAUUAAAGUAA